rnacentral:rRNA from 1 species
GACGAACGCUGGCGGCGUGCUUAAUACAUGCAAGUCGAGCGGAAAGGCCAUGCUUGCAGGGUACUCGAGUGGGGAACGGGCGAGUAACAAGUGGGUGAACUGCCCAGCAAUUCGGGUUAAGUCAGGGAAACUGGGUCGAACAAAGACCAGGUGACAUUUUUAGUGUGAUGGUUGGAAAGUUUUUUCGGUGUAGGAUGAGAUCGCGGCCUGGAAGCUUGCUGGUGGGGUAAUGGCCUAACAAAGCGGCGUCGGGUAGCCGGCCUGCGAGGUUGGACGGCCACCUUAGGACUGCAAUGCGGCCCAGACUCCUACGGGAGGCAGCAGUGGGGAAUAUUGCACAAUGGGCGCAAGCCUGAUGCAGCGACGCCUCGUGGGGGAUAACGUCCUUCGGGUUGUAAACUCCUUUCGCUAGGGACGAAGCUUUUUGUGACGGUACCUAGAUAAGAAGCACCGGCUAACUACGUG